GACGAACGCUGGCGGCGUGCCUAAUACAUGCAAGUCGAACGCACAGUCCAUACCGUAGCUUGCUACACCAUAGACUGUGAGUUGCGAACGGGUGAGUAACGCGUAGCUAACCUGCCUGGUAGCGGGGGAUAACUAUUGGAAACGAUAGCUAGUACCGCAUAAUAUUAAUUAUUGCAUGAUAAUUAAUGGAAAGGUGGAAUUGAACCACUACCAGAUGGACCUAUGUUGUAUUAGCUAGUAGGGGAGGUAACGGCUCACCUAGGCGGAGGUACAUAGCCGGCCUGGGAGGGUGGACGGCCAACCUGGGACUUGGGCCCGGCCCAGGCUCCCACGGGAGGCAGCAGUAGGGGAUCUUCGGCAAUGGGGGGAAGUCUGACCGAAGAAAGCCGGGGGGGGGAAGGAGGGUUUCGGGUCGGAAAACUCUGUUGUAAGGGAAGAAAGGGUGUGAGAGUGAAAAGUUCACGCUGUGACGGUAACUAACCAGAAAGCGACGGCUAACUACGUG
rnacentral:rRNA from 1 species